rnacentral:tRNA from 2 species
GGUUCGUUGGUCUACUUGGUUUAGGACGCUUGCCUGUCACGCAAGAGGUCACCGGUUCGAGUCCGGUACGAACCG